rnacentral:piRNA from 1 species
UAUUGCCUUAUAAUUUACUUGGCUUGUUGCC